rnacentral:rRNA from 1 species
UAGGGAAUCUUCGGUAAUGGACGAAAGUCUGACCGAGCAACGCCGCGCGAGUGAAGAAGGACUUUGGAUCGUAAAACUCUGUUGUUAGAGAAGAACAAGGACGUUAGUAACUGAACGUGCCUGGACGGUACCUAACCAGAAAGCCACGGCUAACUCCGUGCCAGCAGCCGCGGUAAAACGAAGGUGGCAAGCGUAGCCCGGAUUUAUUGGACGUAAAGCGAGCGCAGGCGGUUUCUUAAGUCUGAUGUGAAAGCCCCCGGCUCAAUCGGGGAGGGUCAUUGGAAACUGUGUGACUUGAUUGCAGAAGAGGUAGGUGAAAUUCCAUGUGUAGCGAUGAAUUACGUAGAUAUAUGGAGGACCACCAGUAGCGAAGGCGGCUCUCUGGUCUGUAACUGAGGCUGAGGCUCGAAAGCGUGGGGAGCAAACAGA